GGGUUGUGAGGUUAAGCGACUAAGCGUACACGGUGGAUGCCCUGGCAGUCAGAGGCGAUGAAGGACGUGCUAAUCUGCGAUAAGCGCCGGUAAGGUGAUAUGAACCGUUAUAACCGGCGAUUUCCGAAUGGGGAAACCCAGUGUGACUCGUCACACUAUCAUUAACUGAAUCCAUAGGUUAAUGAGGCGAACCGGGGGAACUGAAACAUCUAAGUACCCCGAGGAAAAGAAAUCAACCGAGAUUCCCCCAGUAGCGGCGAGCGAACGGGGAGGAGCCCAGAGCCUGAAUCAGCAUGUGUGUUAGUGGAAGCGUCUGGAAAGGCGCGCGAUACAGGGUGACAGCCCCGUACACAAAAGCGCAUGUGCUGUGAGCUCGAUGAGUAGGGCGGGACACGUGGUAUCCUGUCUGAAUAUGGGGGGACCAUCCUCCAAGGCUAAAUACUCCUGACUGACCGAUAGUGAACCAGUACCGUGAGGGAAAGGCGAAAAGAACCCCGGCGAGGGGAGUGAAAAAGAACCUGAAACCGUGUACGUACAAGCAGUGGGAGCACAGGUUUACCUGUGUGACUGCGUACCUUUUGUAUAAUGGGUCAGCGACUUAUAUUCUGUAGCAAGGUUAACCGAAUAGGGGAGCCGGAGGGAAACCGAGUCUUAACCGGGCGUUAAGUUGCAGGGUAUAGACCCGAAACCCGGUGAUCUAGCCAUGGGCAGGUUGAAGGUUGGGUAACACUAACUGGAGGACCGAACCGACUAAUGUUGAAAAAUUAGCGGAUGACCUGUGGCUGGGGGUGAAAGGCCAAUCAAACCGGGAGAUAGCUGGUUCUCCCCGAAAGCUAUUUAGGUAGCGCCUCGUGAAUUCAUCUCCGGGGGUAGAGCACUGUUUCGGCUAGGGGGCCAUCCCGGCUUACCAACCCGAUGCAAACUGCGAAUACCGGAGAAUGUUAUCACGGGAGACACACGGCGGGUGCUAACGUCCGUCGUGAAGAGGGAAACAACCCAGACCGCCAGCUAAGGUCCCAAAGUCAUGGUUAAGUGGGAAACGAUGUGGGAAGGCCCAGACAGCCAGGAUGUUGGCUUAGAAGCAGCCAUCAUUUAAAGAAAGCGUAAUAGCUCACUGGUCGAGUCGGCCUGCGCGGAAGAUGUAACGGGGCUAAACCAUGCACCGAAGCUGCGGCAGCGAACGUAUCACUUAAAGCGAUUCAGCGGGUUACGAUUGACGGAGCGAAGCGACGUCAAAGCGUAUACAAAGUCGAGUCGGUUUAAGGAUACGUUCGUUGGGUAGGGGAGCGUUCUGUAAGCCUGUGAAGGUGGCCUGUGAGGGUUGCUGGAGGUAUCAGAAGUGCGAAUGCUGACAUAAGUAACGAUAAAGCGGGUGAAAAGCCCGCUCGCCGGAAGACCAAGGGUUCCUGUCCAACGUUAAUCGGGGCAGGGUGAGUCGACCCCUAAGGCGAGGCCGAAAGGCGUAGUCGAUGGGAAACGGGUUAAUAUUCCCGUACUUGGUGUUACUGCGAAGGGGGGACGGAGAAGGCUAUGUUGGCCGGGCGACGGUUGUCCCGGUUUAAGCGUGUAGGUGUGUGUUCCAGGUAAAUCCGGUUCACUUUAACACUGAGGCGUGAUGACGAGGCACUACGGUGCUGAAGCAACAAAUGCCCUGCUUCCAGGAAAAGCCUCUAAGCAUCAGGUAACAUCAAAUCGUACCCCAAACCGACACAGGUGGUCAGGUAGAGAAUACCAAGGCGCUUGAGAGAACUCGGGUGAAGGAACUAGGCAAAAUGGUGCCGUAACUUCGGGAGAAGGCACGCUGACACGUAGGUGAAGUGAUUUACUCAUGGAGCUGAAGUCAGUCGAAGAUACCAGCUGGCUGCAACUGUUUAUUAAAAACACAGCACUGUGCAAACACGAAAGUGGACGUAUACGGUGUGACGCCUGCCCGGUGCCGGAAGGUUAAUUGAUGGGGUCAGCGCAAGCGAAGCUCCUGAUCGAAGCCCCGGUAAACGGCGGCCGUAACUAUAACGGUCCUAAGGUAGCGAAAUUCCUUGUCGGGUAAGUUCCGACCUGCACGAAUGGCGUAAUGAUGGCCAGGCUGUCUCCACCCGAGACUCAGUGAAAUUGAACUCGCUGUGAAGAUGCAGUGUACCCGCGGCAAGACGGAAAGACCCCGUGAACCUUUACUAUAGCUUGACACUGAACAUUGAGCCUUGAUGUGUAGGAUAGGUGGGAGGCUUUGAAGCGUGGACGCCAGUCUGCGUGGAGCCGACCUUGAAAUACCACCCUUUAAUGUUUGAUGUUCUAACGUGGACCCGUAAUCCGGGUUGCGGACAGUGUCUGGUGGGUAGUUUGACUGGGGCGGUCUCCUCCUAAAGAGUAACGGAGGAGCACGAAGGUUGGCUAAUCCUGGUCGGACAUCAGGAGGUUAGUGCAAUGGCAUAAGCCAGCUUGACUGCGAGCGUGACGGCGCGAGCAGGUGCGAAAGCAGGUCAUAGUGAUCCGGUGGUUCUGAAUGGAAGGGCCAUCGCUCAACGGAUAAAAGGUACUCCGGGGAUAACAGGCUGAUACCGCCCAAGAGUUCAUAUCGACGGCGGUGUUUGGCACCUCGAUGUCGGCUCAUCACAUCCUGGGGCUGAAGUAGGUCCCAAGGGUAUGGCUGUUCGCCAUUUAAAGUGGUACGCGAGCUGGGUUUAGAACGUCGUGAGACAGUUCGGUCCCUAUCUGCCGUGGGCGCUGGAGAACUGAGGGGGGCUGCUCCUAGUACGAGAGGACCGGAGUGGACGCAUCACUGGUGUUCGGGUUGUCAUGCCAAUGGCACUGCCCGGUAGCUAAAUGCGGAAGAGAUAAGUGCUGAAAGCAUCUAAGCACGAAACUUGCCCCGAGAUGAGUUCUCCCUGAGACUUUAGGUCUCCUGAAGGAACGUUGAAGACGACGACGUUGAUAGGCCGGGUGUGUAAGCGCAGCGAUGCGUUGAGCUAACCGGUACUAAUGAACCGUGAGGCUUAACCUUACAACGCCGAAG
rnacentral:rRNA from 1 species